GCUGAAGAUUAGGGGACACUGUUACCAGUUCUAUAGACAGCUGCGACAGGAAUGUGUUAAGGGUCUCACAGAUUCAAACAGAAAUAAACAGGGAAUGAUUGCGAAAGUGAAACAUUUGAGAUGUGAUAAAAUGAUUAAAGGCAAAGAGGCUGACUAUGGCUAUGAGUAACAAACUUUGGAGAUGAUCGAAACUAUCCUGAUGAAGAAUUUGCCGAACGGUACUUCGAAAUAUCAGUAUCAUUAUCCAAUGCAUAAAAUGUAUACUAUUCAUAGUUGCUUGACUAAAUGUUUCUUUUUCAACUUGUA